GAGGGUAUAGCUCAGUGGUAAAGCGUGUGCCUAGCAAGCAUGAGGUCCUGGGUUUAAUCCCCAGUACCUCCA
rfam:Camelus ferus unplaced genomic scaffold scaffold692, whole genome shotgun sequence.